GUUAACACUGCCUUUUCAGAGAAUUGGAGGUAUCCCUAGACACUAAUGUAGACGGCCACUAGAGGUGCUUCCUGGGUCAUUGCUGCACAAUAUGAAGCUCUGAUGUUCAGGGUCUCCAUGAUGCUAAACUUUUCCCAUAGAGAUGCAUUGAUUUAAUGAAUCUUUAUGAGGUUGAUGCUGAUUGGCCAGGGCGGCACUUGGUUCAGCCCCCACCCGUCUCCU